ACGGUGGAUACCUAGGCACACAGAGGCGAAGAAGGACGUGGCGACCGACGAUAAGCUCCGGGGAGCUGGAAGCAAGCAUUGAGCCGGAGAUGUCCGAAUGGGGCAACCCAGUAAGCAUCAGUUGAAUACAUAGACUGAUAGCGGCGAACCCAGCGAAUUGAAACAUCUUAGUAGCUGGAGGAAGAGAAAGCAAUAGCGAUUUCCCAAGUAGUGG
rnacentral:rRNA from 1 species